CAGGGAAUAGUUUAUAUAAAAUAUUAAUUUUGGGAUUUAAUGAUGGGGUAUUCCUUUCUCUGA
rnacentral:tRNA from 1 species